UACGGGGGGGGCAAGCGUUGUUCGGAAUUACUGGGCGUAAAGGGCUCGUAGGCGGCCAACUAAGUCAGACGUGAAAUCCCUCGGCUUAACCGGGGAACUGCAUCUGAUACUGGAUGGCUUGAGUUCGGGAGAGGGAUGCGGAAUUCCAGGUGUAGCGGUGAAAUGCGUAGAUAUCUGGAGGAACACCGGUGGCGAAGGCGGCUCUCUGGGCCGAUACUGACGCUGAGGAGCGAAAGCGUGGGGAGCGAACAGG
rnacentral:rRNA from 1 species